GUGCCAGCCGCCGCGGUAAUACGUAGGUGGCAAGCGUUGUCCGGAUUUAUUGGGUUUAAAGGGUGCGUAGGCGGUCUUUUAAGUCAGUGCUGAAAUACUCCAGCUUAACUGGAGGGGUGGCAUUGAUACUGGGAGACUUGAGUGUAGUCGAGGUAGGCGGAAUUGACGGUGUAGCGGUGAAAUGCUUAGAUAUCGUCAAGAACACCGAUAGUGAAGACAGCUUACUAGGCUACAACUGACGCUGAGGCACGAAAGUGUGGGGAUCAAACAGGAUUAGAUACCCCAGUAGUCC
rnacentral:rRNA from 1 species